ACAUCGGGACUGAGACACGGCCCGAACUCCUACGGGAGGCAGCAGUGGGGAAUAUUGGACAAUGGGGGCAACCCUGAUCCAGCCAUGCCGCGUGUGUGAAGAAGGCUUUCGGGUUGUAAAGCACUUUCAGUGAGGAGGAAGGCCAAGUCGCUAAUAUCGGCUUGGAUUGACGUUACUCACAGAAGAAGCACCGGCUAACUCCGUGCCAGCAGCCGCGGUAAUACGGAGGGUGCAAGCGUUAAUCGGAAUUACUGGGCGUAAAGCGCGCGUAGGUGGUUUGUUAAGCGAGAUGUGAAAGCCCCGGGCUUAACCUGGGAACGGCAUUUCGAACUGGCAGGCUAGAGUGUGGUAGAGGGUAGUGGAAUUUCCUGUGUAGCGGUGAAAUGCGUAGAUAUAGGAAGGAACACCAGUGGCGAAGGCGGCUACCUGGACCAACACUGACACUGAGGUGCGAAAGCGUGGGGAGC
rnacentral:rRNA from 1 species